rnacentral:miRNA from 1 species
UCUCCAAAGGGAAGAAUUUUCU